CACAAAACGGUGACGUCUUGUUACCCCAAAAUGCAUUAGACUUUUUCCCAAAAUCAGUUCCCCCUUCCCCCCGAAAUCCCAAAAUUUGACAAGAAAUCUCUUCUUUUUCCCCUCCUUUCUUUUCCCAAAAUCGGUUCCCUCCCCCUUCCCCAAAGAAAUCCUAAAAUUUCACCUGAAAUUUCUUCUCUUUUUUUCCCCAUUUUAUUUUUCCCAAACCCGAUUACCUUUAUUUUUUCCCCAAUUUCCCCAAAUCGGUAGCCCUCUGCAUCUCUGUCUGUAGCCUGCUGCUAUAUCUCCGUCGACAUCUGCUAUAAAGUAUAUUGAAAAAGGACCCAAGGCAAGGUUUUUCUUUCAGCAACUGAUAUCAGGAGUGAGUUAUUGCCAUGCAAUGAAAAUUUGUCAUAGGGAUCUUAAGAUGGAAAACACGCUGUUACAUGGGAGUACUGUGCCGAGACUUAAAAUAUGCGACUUUGGAUACUCUAAGGCAAUGAACCUUUAUUGAUUUUCAGCAUCAAUCUUGAUUACUUUCUAUAAAAACUAUGUUACUUGGACUUGAAUGUAUAUGUUUGAUACGCUAUAAUAUUUGGCGUGGGCUUAUUUAGUUUUUUUUUUACUUUUUUCCAUACACUUAGCAUGGAUGUCAAACACCGACCAAAGAGUCCAAACAACAUAUAUAUAAAAAUUAAAUUAUUAACUUUGUACUGCAUGUUUCAGUCAAGUGUGUUUCAUUCCCAACCCAAAUCUACUGUAGGAACCCCAGCCUACAUUGCACCAGAGGCCUUGUCUAGGAAACAAUAUGAUGGGAAGACUCAGCACUUGAUCUCGAUGAACAGAUCUCACAGCUCAUGCAAUGUAAGCCACUUUCGAAGCAGCAGGUCAGAGCAUUAUGCAACAAGGCAAAGGAAAUAUUAAUGGAAGAAAGCAAUGUUCAGGACUGGACUGGUUUGAACUUUCAAGAAGUAAUGGAUGAAGCAGAAAAAAUUCGAGUAAUGGUGCAUACUUUGGCUUUCUAUUCCAGUAUUUUGGAUUCUCUGGCGGUUGAAUUGAAAGCAUCGAAGGACUUCUCUAAGUUAUAUCCAGGCAUUGCAAUACUCUGGCUUCAUCUAAGCUUGAACCAACCCUCUGUUGUAUAUUGUUUCUUCUUCUUUUUGAUCUUUUUCCUUUGAUUAAUGAGAGGUGAUGAUGAUUUGGCAUUCUUUUCUCACGAGGAUGAAUUUUGUUUUAGAAAUAGUAAUACUUUGUGUGGUUUUUUUAUGUAUAAAAUUACAUAUUGAAUCAAUCUUUAUGUAUUAAAUUUAAAUUCAUUAAUUUUUAUAUUUAGUUUUAAAGUUCAAA